GAAACUGGCCGGCGCGCUCCGGCCCUGCAGGGACCGUGGUGGAGGGGAACUGCAAGAGGGCUUUGAAGGGCGGAGCCUGCGGGGAGGGGCGUGGCGGGCCCUGAAGUUGUCCUCUUCGUCACUUCCGAACCCGCAUAGUCGGCCGGCACCUACGCGGCUUUGUGCACUGUUUUUCCUUUCUGCUCUGUCCCUCCGUGCAACCACUCCCACACUCCGGAGAAAGACUCCCGUUUCCCAGCAGCGUUCUGCCACCCCGAGGCUCUGAUCUGCUCUGCUCUGGCAGUCCCGGUGCCACUCUGAGGAGCAUGGAGAGACCAAGGCCGGGCACACCUCCGGUCAGCGCAUCCAAGAAGCCCUUCUGUGCUAGGACAGCAGAGUUGGCAGGACCCCAGCCCAGCUCCUCUCUUGUGCGCAUUUCUCAUGAAGAGCCCAGUGGAAAAGCCUCUGCCAUUGGAGACAGACAGACCUGACCACAAGGUCCACCCCACACCAGCUGCAAGACAGGAGAAAUAGCCACACAAACUGGGAGGGACUACUGUGAAGGAAAGGGUGCUGGACAAGCAUUCCACCUAGGCCCACUGCUGGGUGAUGGCCAGUGAAUGCCUGGUGCUCUGCUCCACCUAGCCUGAGCCCUGGAGAGCCCAGCUGUUGUUCUCACCGCUCUCUGGGCUGAUGAUAGUAACAAGACUGCUGCUUGUUCCUUUGAUUGAUGUUCUGUGCUGUAUAUAUACACAUGUAUUCUCUUUCUCUAUGUCUCUCUGUCUGUCUCUGUCUCUGUAUCUGUCUCUCUCUGACUGGGGACUGGACACAGGGCAUUCACAC
ensembl:lincRNA